UAUAAUUAGGAGUAUAUCAAU
rnacentral:piRNA from 1 species